GCUCUGCAGGCAGGAGUGGCCUGGGGUCAAGAGCAGUUCCAGCUGUUACUUAAGGAAAAGCAGUGCAGAGUAACUGUGUCUGGGUCAGCAGAGGACGUAGAUCUUGAGGAAAUUCGCUACCACUGGAUGCUCUACAAGUCCAAACUGAAGGAUGUGGGAGACAUCAGAGCUAGGAGCAAUGCUAAGAAGCCUGGAUUGUUGCAGAGGGUAUGUCGGCUGGCUUUUAUUCUAUGGGUCCCUCUACUGGCACUGCUUCUCCUGAUGUUCUUGCUGCCCCUCAUGGAUGAAGGCAACACUUGCUCGUUCUCCAACAACUUUGCCCGAUCCUUCAACAUCAUGCUUCGCUAUGAGGGACCUCCACCUACAUAACCAUCUUACAGCCAUGGCUUAUGUAGAACAUUUAACUGUUCUUCUUGAGAUUCCUCCUUCCCCUGCCCUUUGAUCAUCAUGCAUGACUAUAACAAUACAGAUAACACCACACAACCUUAAUAUUUCAGUUCAAUAUAAACACUGUGCCACUUCAAACCCUUUAUUCUUGUUCUUAUACUGGUUUUAAAUAGUAGUUUCACUACCACUACUCUAAAACAAAUUUCUUUAUAAUAGCUUUUAUAUAACUAAAGAAUAAAAUUUUUCAUCCUUUUAUAUUAUUUCUACAUGGAUGGACUUAACAUUACCUGGAGUAGCACGCACAUCUGUAAGCAUCAAAUCCAACCAUUAAUGCACUCUGCAUUCAUGCAUUUUUGGCUGCUUUGUCAAAUGUCUGUUCCAUUGGACCUCAAAAGCAUAUGAGACUACCUACCACAAAGGAUGAACAAGACCAUAAUUCGAUUCUAAAUCCCAUCAUCAUUUUAAGAAUUUCAAAAUACUGUAACAUUUGACUGCAGCAGAUUUAAUAUUUACAACCUGUCAAUUUCCAUUAUUUUUUAGUUCCAUGCCUGCCAACAGUUAAAAUAUGAUUGUUUCAAAUCCUGAAUAUCAGUGUCACAUAAGCCGAUUUCAGACAUGACCUAUAGUAAAACGCGGAGAAUUGGCUACGGAGUUUGUUUUUCCACACAUGCACAAUGCAGUGGGAGGUUCUCUGCACAGAUGCUUUCACAAUAGCAGCAAAUCCUCUGCAUUAUUCAGGCGAGGGGGUGGAACAGAUAGAAACAGGAAGUCACGUAUUAACUCCGCCGCGGGAAAGUCCGUAGUCUCCUAUGGAGAAAAUACGGAGGAUCUGCAGAGUCCAGUGCAUGUCUGAAAACAGCUUUAUAGAGCAGUUGUUGCCACCAUGACAAAAAAAGUUUGCAGUUUAUACAUUUAAUGUUGUGACAGAAUAUAAAAAUGUUUUCAUUGCAUGAUCUACUUGUUACAUAUUCAUUCUUGUUUAAUAUGAAACAUUUUUAGUCACAACACAUGACUUUAUAGACGUAAGACUUAUUAUAUCACUCGUAUCAUAUCACUUCUAAAUCUCGUUACAUGCCUCCUGUUAUAAUGACAUACCAACUUAUCUCACCUCAAGAGACGGCUGUGGCUCAGAGAUGAUUGUCCACUAACCAGAAGGGCCGGUGGUUCGAUCCCCUCACCUCCAGUGUGAUGUGUCCUUGGGAACCCCAAAUUGCACCUGACAGCUGUGUUACUUCAUGUUACGGGGGGAGACAAAAUAGGUAUCAUUAAUCCAGGUUUCUUGUUUUACCAGCAUAUUAAUUGAUCAUGUUAUGAUGAGAAACCUGUCUAAUUUUGAAUACUGUAAAAAAUAUUGUAACAGAUGAAAUAAUUGUGAGAAUGAAUUUUUAAAUUUUGUUUGCAAGAAAAGUGUGAUUUUAAAAACACAACAAUACAGAAACAAUAUUUUUGCAACUAUUAAUGCUUUAAACUUCAAAAUUUAUAACUCAGUACUCCUUCUGACUGCAUGGACUCAAUUUGGAUAUUACAGACAUAAAAGCUGAUAACCAACCAAUCCAAACUUUUGGCUUUACAUUACAAAAUUGAACAAACCCAAUCCUCGACCGGAUAGUUUGUUGUUAGAACUUCUUUGGCAUAGUCUAUCAUAUCAAAGUUUUAGAACAGUGGUGAUCAUAGUGCUCACAGUGGGAGGACACAGAUGUGGUUGACUAAUUUAGCAAAAGUUUAGAUUAAGAACCUAAAAAACAUAAGAACCUGAUAGAAAAGGAUGUUUAUUCUUACAUUGCUGAAUGGUGAUGAUUACAUUUUCUGCUGGCUCUCAAGGUGUGUAUACAAAUGAAGAAUACUGAUAUAGUGUUUGGCCCCCUCCUGAUAAAGGCCAGUCUUCUCUGUUUGGCUACAUUGGCUCUGUUGAGAUUGGUGAGAAAUGUGAACCCCCGCUCUUGCUGCACCUGUCUGUGUUAGCGGACAUGCCAGACUCACAUUACAUCACAUGACGUGAGAAACUGUAUAAUCUUUAUAUCUAUUCAUAUUUCAGUAAGGCUAUAGCAAUUUUCAUUUGUCAUUUAUCUGAAGCUCUUUUUAACUGUACAACCACCUCAUGAGAGCUCAUACUUUUCUGGGGGUGCUAUUUUGGUUUGAGCAGGGUGAUAGAUCUUUUUCACAGCCUAAUCUACCAGUGAAAAAAUAUCAAUUGCUAUUCCUCCACUCACCAUCACAUACACAGUUAGUUUACCUUUUUUGGUUGUGUUUAUCUAUAUUACUUUUAUUUAUCGUGUUGCUGUGGCAACAGUGACCGAAUCAGAUUUUACAUUUAUAGACAGAUACUUAAUUCAUCCCCAUGGGGAAAUUUAGAUAUCCAGUAGCUCACAAAGAAGACACAAAUAAAACAAAGAGGCACACAUAAGACAAAGAUCGGAUUGAUAAAAUAAAUAGAUAAAUGAUAAAUAGAAGAGGUGCAAUGAUAAAAGUCCUGAAAAUAGUCCUUGUGUUUUUCACAAAGGCAGAGCGUGUCAUUACGAGUAUCUUGAUACAGCAAGUGAGGGUUUGUGCAUUGUGCAACUUCACAAUUGUUACAGUAUGUGUGUAUGUACUUGUUAAACUCUGCUUCAGUUUAGACAAGAUUGUAGAUCUCACAUACAUAAAUAAGGCCCCAUUGCCUAGAUAUUGCUAUGCAAAACUAUUAUGUAGAUUCAACUGCAAACUUGGUUACAAAACUGCCAGCGCCAUUGUUUCAAGAAUAUAUGGAGUUAUACACGUGUACAUACUGUAUCUAAGAGGUUUCCUCAGAAGCCUCUUGAAUGAGAGGUGAAACAUCUUCAAGGAAUAAGACAAGUUGCUUAUGCAUACGUUAUUAUAUACGUAGCUUUUGAAGAUACCAUGACCCGGAUGAAUGACAAAUGGGAUAACAAGCUUUUUUUUUUAUAUAUAUCAAAUUAUAAUUCAGAUGCAGAUAGCUGCCAACAUAGCCCAAGCCAAGCGCAGGUAUUCAUUAGCUUGAUCCAACCUUACAUCUGAAGUGGAAACACAGUUAAUAUUAUACACAUUAUCACCAACAAGCUUGUGGUGUGUAUGGUAAUGAUGGGUGCUUUUAAAAUGUAGAAAUAUGCUAUAUGCAGCAUAUUUAAAGUUAACAAACUAACCACAAAUUGAAAAGAGAUAUAUCAAAGGUAUCCAUUUAUCAUGGCCUCAGAUUUUUAUGUAUGCCACAGUCAACUGUGCCAUAACCACAUGUAUUUAGCUUUAUAAACCACUUGUGUACUAUAUAGCAUUUAUAUAGCCAUGCUAAAUAUAAGGCUUAGUCCUGUCAUGCAUGUUAAUGUUGCAUUCCAUGCAUAAUCAAGUAUCCCUUUAGAGAAGACUAUGCAACGCCUGGAAAAACUGAUAGUUUGUGCCACAAAAUAAAAGGACUUGAAUAUCCUGA